rnacentral:rRNA from 1 species
CCUAGUGGAGACUCUCGGGAACUGAGGUUAAUACUCGAUAGGAGAUGUACCCUGGAAUGAUUCAUCUCUCAAAUUCGAGCUUAAGGAUGGGGCUGCGGCGGAUUAGGUUGUUGGCGGGGUAAAGGCCCACCAAGCCGAUGAUCCGUAAGGGCUCUUAGCGGAGAGGCCCUGAGAGGGAAUCUGAGACACUAUUCCCAGCCCUACGGGGUGCAGCAGUUAGGAAUCUUCUGCAAUGCGCGCAAGCGUGACAGAUUGAGUCAGAGUGCUUUUCAUAUGAAAAGCUUUUGCCAAAUGCAAAAAGUUUGGCGAAUAAGGACUGGGUAAGACGGGUGCCAGCCGCCGCGGUAAUACCCGCGGUCCAAGUCGCAGCCAUCAUUAUUGGGUCUAAAACAUCCGUAGCUUGCUUGAUAAGUUUCUUGUGAAAUUCCAUGUCUUAAAUAUGGAGCGGGCAAGAAGUACUGUUAAGCGAGAGACUGGAAGACGUAAGAAGUACGUUUGGAGUAGCGGUAAAAUGUGUUAAUCCCAGACGGACUAACAAUAGCGAAGGCAUCUUACGAGGACAGUUCUGACAGUAAGGGAUGAAGGCUAGGGGCGCGAAAGGGAUUAGAUACCCCUGUAGUCCUAGCAGUAAACACUGCACACUAAACAUUAGUACCUCCUCGAGAGGUGUUAGUGCUGAAGAGAAGUCGAAGAGUGUGCUACCUGGGAAGUAUAGUCGCAAGGCUGAAACUUAAAGGAAUUGGCGGGGGAGCAC